GCACAGAGUUAGCCGUCCCUUCCUCUUCCGCUACUAUCAGGUUGUCAUCUUUUAAAUAACAACGGUUGAUCGCAAAUGACAGGGGUUUACGGGCCGAAGCCAUUCAUCCCCCACGCGGCGUCGCUCCAUCAGGCUUUCGCCCAUUGUGAAAAAUUCUCGACUGCUGCCACCCGUAGGUGUCUGGACCGUGUCUCAGUUCCAGUGUGGCUGGUCGUCCUCUCAGGCCAGCUACCCGUCUUAGCCUUGGUGAGCCGUUACCUCACCAACAAGCUGAUAGGCCGCGGGCUCAUCGUGAAGUGCCAGGCCUUGCGGUCCCCAGCUUCAAAGUCAGGAAGAUGCCUCCCCAACGACACAUCCGGUAUUAGCUCGCCUUUCAGCGAGUUAUUCCGGGCUUCACGGCAGAUUACCCACGUGUUACGCACCCUUGCGCCGCUGAACUUCCAGAAUAUUGCUACCCUGAAAAUCCCGCUCGACUUGCAUGUCUUAUCCACGCCGCCAGCGUUCGUU
rnacentral:rRNA from 1 species